AGCCUGAAUCUCAUGCAAGGCUAAAGAGCCUGGAAGCGACAGUAAGGCCAAUGAGCCUGAAUCCCAUGCAAGGCUAAAGAGCCUGGAAGCGACAGUAAGGCCAAUGAGCCUGAAUCCCAUGCAAGGCUAAAGAGCCUGGAAACGACAGUAAGGCCAAAGAGCCCGAAUCUUAUGAAAAACCUCAAGAAGGUACAAGGCCGGCGGAUCUCAAAG
rnacentral:lncRNA from 1 species